CAUAUUUAUAAAAUAUUGCAUUUUUGUGAUUAACAAUAUCUCAUUCACACUUCCUCUCAAAUGUUUGAGCACUUUUAUUAUUGCCUUUUAGAAGUAGCACACACAAGCAUACAAACACAUUAGAUAUACAGUAGAGAGCAGUCCUUGAAGUUCACAAGACUAUUAUUUUAAAACCAUAAAUAUGAACACUCUGUGAAGGUUUUCAGAAGCAAGUUCAUUGAUGGAAUGCCCCUUAGUAAGCAUAGUUAGCUUCAAAUGUUUUCUGGCUGCCAGCCAAACUAUCAAUACCAGUGUAUUUGCCGCAGGAUGCAGCGCCAUUUGCCAUAGCACGUUUUCCAAGCUCUGCUUGACCGGCUUUGACAUUUUCUGAUUUUCCACCCCAGGCUUUCAGAGUGCUUGCCUGAAGAGCUCGGCCAAAUGAGAAUGUCAACGCCCAUGGCUUUUUACCUGAAAACAUAAAUAGUUUGUUUGUUGAGAAAGCA
rnacentral:lncRNA from 1 species